GAAAUCUGGCCCUCGGGUCCGAGUUGUAAUUUGUAGAGGAUGCUUUUGGUGCAGUGCCUUCCGAGUUCCUUGGAACAGGACGCCUUAGAGGGUGAGAGCCCCGUACGGUUGGACACUAAGCCUCUGUAAAGCUCCUUCGACGAGUCGAGUAGUUUGGGAAUGCUGCUCUAAAUGGGAGGUAAAUUUCUUCUAAAGCUAAAUACCGGCCAGAGACCGAUAGCGCACAAGUAGAGUGAUCGAAAGAUGAAAAGUACUUUGAAAAGAGGGUUAAAUAGCACGUGAAAUUGUUGAAAGGGAAGCGUUUAUGACCAGACCUUUGCCAGGCGGAUCAUCCGGUGUUCUUCACCGGUGCACUUCGCCUGGCUCAGGCCAGCAUCGAUUUUCGUAGGGGGAUAAAGGCCCUGGGAACGUAGCUCUCUUCGGGGAGUGUUAUAGCCCUAGGUGUAAUACCCUUAUGGGGAUCGAGGUUCGCGCUUCUGCAAGGAUGCUGGCGUAAUGGUCAUCAACGACCCGUCUU
rnacentral:rRNA from 1 species